rnacentral:tRNA from 1 species
GGUCCCAUCGUCUAGUGGUUAGGACACCAGGUUUUCAUCCUGGGAACAGGGGUUCAAUUCCCCUUGGGACUACUA